GAUGAACGCUGGCGGCGUGCCUAAUACAUGCAAGUCGAGCGAACAGACGAGGAGCUUGCUCCUCUGACGUUAGCGGCGGACGGGUGAGUAACACGUGGAUAACCUACCUAUAAGACUGGGAUAACUUCGGGAAACCGGAGCUAAUACCGGAUAAUAUAUUGAACCGCAUGGUUCAAUAGUGAAAGACGGUUUUGCUGUCACUUAUAGAUGGAUCCGCGCCGCAUUAGCUAGUUGGUAAGGUAACGGCUUACCAAGGCAACGAUGCGUAGCCGACCUGAGAGGGUGAUCGGCCACACUGGAACUGAGACACGGUCCAGACUCCUACGGGAGGCAGCAGUAGGGAAUCUUCCGCAAUGGGCGAAAGCCUGACAGAGCAACGCCGCGUGAGUGAUGAAGGUCUUCGGAUCGUAAAACUCUGUUAUUAGGGAAGAACAAAUGUGUAAGUAACUAUGCACGUCUUGACGGUACCUAAUCAGAGAGCCACGGCUAACUACGUG
rnacentral:rRNA from 1 species